ensembl:ncRNA M03C11.10 ncRNA
CGCCUAAUUGUCUGCAUUCAACUUUUCCCCGCGUUGCAAAAAAACACGCCACUGAACUUUUUUUUGGGGGGGGGGGGGGGGGGAAUGGGUAAAAAACGAGACUUUUGCCGACGAUGAGUUUGAGGCAGAGGA